CCUACGGGAGGCAGCAGUGGGGAAUUUUGGACAAUGGGCGCAAGCCUGAUCCAGCAAUGCCGCGUGAGUGAAGAAGGCCUUCGGGUUGUAAAGCUCUUUUGUCAGGGAAGAAACGGUGAGGGCUAAUAUCCCUUGCUAAUGACGGUACCUGAAGAAUAAGCACCGGCUAACUACGUGCCAGCAGCCGCGGUAAUACGUAGGGUGCAAGCGUUAAUCGGAAUUACUGGGCGUAAAGCGUGCGCAGGCGGUUUUGUAAGUCUGUCGUGAAAUCCCCGGGCUCAACCUGGGAAUUGCGAUGGAGACUGCAAGGCUAGAAUCUGGCAGAGGGGGGUAGAAUUCCACGUGUAGCAGUGAAAUGCGUAGAGAUGUGGAGGAACACCGAUGGCGAAGGCAGCCCCCUGGGUCAAGAUUGACGCUCAUGCACGAAAGCGUGGGGAGCAAACAGGAUUAGAUACCCUGGUAGUCCACGCCCUAAACGACGUCUACUAGUUGUCGGGUUUUAAUUAACUUGGUAACGCAGCUAACGCGUGAAGUAGACCGCCUUGGGGGAGGUACGGUCGCGAGAAUAAACUUAACAAAUAGAAGUUAGUACGGCGUGAGACGUAGCCGACGGACGACGACGACGGGAGGAGG
rnacentral:rRNA from 1 species